rnacentral:rRNA from 1 species
AGAGUUUGAUCCUGGCUCAGAACGAACGCUGGCGGCGUGCCUAACACAUGCAAGUUGAACGGGCCUUGGAGUGGUAGCAAUACCAUUUCGAGGUUAGUGGCGGACGGGUGAGUAACACGUAGGUAACCUACCCUUAGGCGGGGGACAACUCAGGGAAACUUGAGCUAAUACCGCAUAAAUCGACCGGCUGGGAUGCUGGUGGGGAAAGUGGCAACACACCUAGGGAUGGGCCUGCGGCCUAUCAGGUAGUUGGUGGGGUAAGAGCCCACCAAGCCGAAGACGGGUAGCCGGGCUGAGAGGUUGAACGGCCACACUGGAACUGAGACACGGUCCAGACUCCUACGGGAGGCAGCAGUGGGGAAUCUUGCGCAAUGGGGGAAACCCUGACGCAGCGACGCCGCGUGGAGGAUGAAGGUCUUCGGGUUGUAAACUCCUUUUCUUGGGGAAAAUGAUGAUGGUACCCAAGGAAUAAGCCACGGCUAACUCUGUGCCAGCAGCCGCGGUAAGACAGAGGUGGCGAGCGUUGUUCGGAAUUACUGGGCUUAAAGGGCGAGUAGGCGGUGGAGCAAGUCUGAGGUGGAAUCCUACGGCUUAACCGUAGAACUGCCUUANAAACUGUUUUACUUGAGUCAAUGAGGGGAGGGCGGAAUUCCUGGUGUAACCGUGAAAUGCUANAUAUCGGGAGGAACACCAGUGGCGAAGGCGACUCCCUGGUCUGCUCCUGACCCUAANAGGCGAAAGCUAGGGGAGCGAACGGAUUAGAAACCCCGUAGUCCUAGCUAUAACAAUGGAUACUAGUGUUGGUGGUCCUAACCCUCAUUGCCCAAGCUUACG